rnacentral:rRNA from 1 species
UACGGAGGAUCCAAGCGUUAUCCGGAUUUAUUGGGUUUAAAGGGUGCGUAGGCGGCUUAUUAAGUCAGUGGUGAAAGACUUCAGCUUAACUGAAGAACUGCCAUUGAUACUGAUGAGCUUGAGUACAGUUGAGGUGGGCGGAAUGUGUCAUGUAGCGGUGAAAUGCUUAGAUAUGACACAGAACACCGAUUGCGAAGGCAGCUCGCUAAACUGUAACUGACGCUGAGGCACGAAAGCGUGGGGAGCGAACAGG